rnacentral:rRNA from 1 species
UACGGAGGGGGCAAGCGUUACUCGGAAUUACUGGGCGUAAAGGGCUCGUAGGCGGCCCCUUAAGUCAGACGUGAAAGCCCUCGGCUUAACCGGGGAACGGCGUCUGAGACUGAAGUGCUUGAAUCCGGGAGAGGGAUGCGGAAUUCCAGGUGUAGCGGUGAAAUGCGUAGAUAUCUGGAGGAACACCGGUGGCGAAGGCGGCAUCCUGGACCGGUAUUGACGCUGAGGAGCGAAAGCCAGGGGAGCAAACGGG